CUACGGGUUGCUCCAGUGAGGAAUAUUGCACAAUGGGGGGAACCCUGAUGCAGCAACGCCGCGUGGAGGAUGACGCAUUUCGGUGUGUAAAUUCCUUUUAUAUGUCAAGAAAAUGACGGUAGCAUAUGAAUAAGCACCGGCUAACUCCGUGCCAGCAGCCGCGGUGAUACGGAGGGUGCAAGCGUUACUCGGAAUCACUGGGCGUAAAGGACGCGUAGGCGGGUUGGAAAGUCAGGUGUGAAAUCCUACAGCUUAACUGUAGAACUGCACUUGAAACUUCUAAUCUAGAGUAUGGGAGGGGGAGAUGGAAUUAGUGGUGUAGGGGUAAAAUCCGUAGAUAUCACUAGGAAUACCUAAAGCGAAGGCGAUCUCCUGGAACAUUACUGACGCUAAGGCGUGAAAGCGUGGGGAGCAAACAGGAUUAGAUACCCCAGUAGUC
rnacentral:rRNA from 1 species